GGAGAGGAAGCCUCUUUCAAAGCAGAGGAGCAGCGGGGGGGUUCGGCAGCAGCAUGAAGUACUUAUCAGCAGCAAAGCUCAUCUCAAGGGCCUGUUCCUCUUCCCUUCGAUUUUUCCCGCUGACACCUGCCGUAGCACCUCCAGGGAAACGUGCGUUCAAGAAAUGCAAUUUAAAAGAAAAGACAAACAAUGCUGGAAAAAAAAGUGAGGGAUAAACAUGCUGCUGAGCGGAUGCUGGACAAACAUCCUUCCAAUUCACAAACGAUUUGGCCGUGUUGGCUGCUCGCAGAUUCUCUGCUCAAGGAGAGUGGGAUGGGAAAGCGUCAACGUGAGCGUCUUGAAUUGGAGAUGUUGGAUCCACAGACCCAAGUCGGCAUCAUAAAUGCGUUUUGGCAUUAAAGACAA